CCUUAAAAUACGAUACAAAAUACUUAAGUACACAAAUUAAAAAGACGCAUUUUCAAGACCCUCAACAACAAAUGUUUCAACUGAGAGUAAAAUACGUACAACGAAAAUAAUUAAAUAAACCAUAUACGUCAGCGUGUAGUCAGCAUACGUCCAAUCGAUGCACUAUCGUCCUAAAUUUUCUCUAUAAGCCAGUCAGAUCCGUUAACUCAUAUCCCGAAUGGAAUCGAGGGCAAACUCCGAAGCGAACUCCGAAGCGAACUCCGAAGCGAACUUCGAAGCGAACUCCGAAGACAACUACGACGAUAGCAAGUCAUAUUGAUUCCUCUGAGCGAGAAUGUCUCGGUGUGACUAAGGCCUGUGUAUAUCGGAUAUACUGCAAGGGGAUAUUGCCGACGGCGUCAUUACCUUCACGCCUGUUUCAUUAAUUUCCCAGAGGAAGUUGGGCACAUAAUUUUCAAACGGACUACGCCUGAGAAUAUAAAUUUGAACUGCACGAUAUGCGAUGGACGAAUUAACGCGACCGUGACACCAUACUACAGGCACAUACACUCGUGUGUUCCAUUUGGACAUACGGCUCAACUAUGUAUAUAUACGGAGAGUUUAGAAUGGAAAU